rnacentral:lncRNA from 1 species
UCCCUAUAAGAGGAGGGUGGAGGGCAAUUUCAGACACAGGCAUUGAGGAGCAGGCAAUAGGAAAAGGAGGCCAACACCUAUAAGAGAAGGGUGGAGGGCAAUUUCAGACACAGGCAUAGAGGAGAAGGCAAUAGGAAAAGGAGGCCAACACCUAUAAGAGAAGGGUGGAGGGCAAUUUCAGACACAGGCAUAGAGGAGCAGGCAAUAGGAAAAGGAGGCCAACACCUAUAAGAGAAGGGUGGAGGGCAAUUUCAGACACAGGCAUUGAGGAGCAGGCAAUAGGAAAAGGAGGCCAACACCUAUAAGAGAAGGGUGGAGGGCAAUUUCAGACACAGGCAUAGAGGAGAAGGCAAUAGGAAAAGGAGGCCAACACCUAUAAGAGAAGGGUGGAGGGCAAUUUCAGACACAGGC